rnacentral:rRNA from 1 species
GCGGAGGAAAAGAAACCAACAGGGAUUGCCUCAGUAACGGCGAGUGAAGCGGCAACAGCUCAAAUUUGAAAUCUGGCUCACGCCCGAGUUGUAAUUUGUAGAGGAUGUUUCGGGUGAAGCCGCGGUCCAAGUCCCUUGGAACAGGACGUCAUAGAGGGUGAGAACCCCGUACCUGGCCGCCGGUGCCCCCCGCUGUGAAACUCCUUCGACGAGUCGAGUUGUUUGGGAAUGCAGCUCUAAAUUGGUGGUAAAUUCCAUCUAAAGCUAAAUACCGGCCAGAGACCGAUAGCGCACAAGUAGAGUGAUCGAAAGAUGAAAAGCACUUUGAAAAGAGAGUUAAAAAGUACGUGAAAUUGUUGAAAGGGAAGCGCUUGCGGCCAGACUUGCCUGCAGUUGCUCAGCCCGCCUUUUGGCGGGUGCACUUUUCUGCAGUCAGGCCAGCAUCGGUUUGGGCGGUCGGAUAAAGGCGUUGGGAACGUGCCUCCCCUCGGGGUGGUGUUAUAGCCCGGCGCGCAAUCCACCAGCCCGUUUCCCCCGUUCGCGCUUGCUA